UCCCGCAUGAAAGUUGGCAGCCAAAGAGUAAAGAACGUCCUGAAUAUUGUUGACCUGUAUCCUACCUGUACCCAUCCUGUAUCCUACCUGUAUCCAAUCUGUACUCAACCUGUACAACCUGUAUCAACUGAGUGCAUAAAUCUGUACACUUGUACCAAUGUACCAAGAACAAGAAACAAGAUAUAAUAAAGAAUCAGAACUCAUAA